rnacentral:lncRNA from 1 species
GAGUCGCCCAAGUGCACUCGACGAGUCGGGUCAAAGUUUGACCGUUGACUUUUGUUGACUUUUAGGGUUUGGUCAACAGUGAGGCCUUUGAGCCAAGAGAGGGGUAAAAUGGUCUUUUACCCUUCUGAGGAUGUUAAGAAAGGUUGGAGUAUAUUUAUAUUUAUGAGAGUAUUUCCUUUAUAUGAUUAGGCGGAGGCUAGAUCACAUUUCUACUGAGACAGAGACUUACCGAGACGCCUUAGGUGAGUUUUCUCAUUAUACGUUACCUUGAGUGGUAUUAUGUAUUGACCAGAGGGUCUUAUGUGUUACGUAUGAGAUUAUGUGCUAUGUGACAUAUGUGUGUUGUAUGAUUGUUAUAGACCGGACCGGAGGGUCCAACGAGCUAUGACCGGACCAGGGGGUCCAACAAGCUACGAGACUGGAGGGUGCCACUGAGACACAUCGAUCGGAGGGUCGUAUUAUAGCCUCGAGGGGCGUAUAUGUUGUAUGCGGUAUUUUGGGGGACUCGCUAAGCAUUUAUGCUUAGAUUUGUUGUGUUAUGUUUUUCAGGUACUAGCAAGGACCGUGGGAAGGCGCCGACGUGACUCGUACACACUAGAGAGAGAGUCUGAUUUUUAUGAUCUUGGGAAAUGAUAUGUUUCAAAAAAUACUGUUGAAAAUAUUUAAGAAUAAUUUUAUAUGAAUUUAGUUGAUGAAAAAUGAAAAUUUUGUUUUGAAAAUUUACGUUGUUACAAGUUGGUAUCAGAGCCUUGGUUUGAGGGAUUCGGAUGCAUCUUCGGGCGUAUCUGAACUCAAACUGAGGAUUUGAGGAAAAAUUUUGAUAAUGAAGUAAAAUUUUUGAAAAGAGUAAAAAGGGUUUUGAGACAAACAGAGCAGAGUCGUGUGUACGAUCAGCCAGCACCCGAACGGUGAAUCCCCAAAAUUACCCUUACAUUAUGUGUUAUGAGAUAUGCUAUGUUAUAUUAUGCAUGCUAGAAUAGGCUACGUAUUCAUAUUAGGACUAGAGUGGCCUGAUUUGUGAUGCCUUAGCCUAGGAGAUUUCUGCUCCUGAUAUGCCUUGAGAGCGAGUAUAUAGCAGUUAAGAGUUCUUGAGAGGUUUAUCGGAGGGUAGCCAAUGCAUAAUGAGGGUAGAGUACUCGUAAUCCAGGAUCCAAGGAGGAGGACUUGGGGUAAAUGUUGAUGCGGUGUGGUCAGUAGCAUUGGGCCUAUACUACUGAAGACACCGGAUCAGUGGGCAUUCAAAGUAAGAAUCUUUUGGACAACGGAGGACGAGUAGGGUUGCUUCAUUGAGUAUGGGUAUGCUCGAUCGAGUCUCUGAUAUUUAUUGUUGUAUUUCAGAGGCAUUAUGGUUGGGACUCGACACACACCUGAGAGCAGUGGUGUCAAUAACGAGGAGAUCCGUUGAUUGAUUCAUUAGGAGGUGGCUGCAGCCAUUCGGGCUGAGAUUCCAGAGAUGUUUGGGGACAUCAAGACCACUUUGAUUGAGACCUUUGAUGAGCGGUAUGCAGCACUGACUGAGGCUGCGGCAGNUGCUACUGCCAGACCUCAGGGAGGUGACUCAUUGUUGUUUCGGGAUUUUAGCAACACGAAGCCACCAGAGUUCGAUGGGACGCAGGACCCGAUUGCUGCGGUGAGAUAGAUCUCUGACAUCGAGGGAUGUUUCUAUACAUGUUCUUGUCCAGAGCACUUGAGAGUACGGUUCCCUCUGAGCCAGCUCCGCUUGGGAGCAAAGGAUUGGUGGAAGUUCGUGACGGCGAACUUCACUUUGGCGGAGAUUUCUGAGGUGACCUGGGAGAGGUUAACCGCUAUGUUCAGAGACGAGUAUGUUCCCCCGGUGGAAAGGGGGCGGUUGAUUCGGGAGUUCUUGACCCUCAAGCAGGGUACUGAUUCUGUGACAGUGUUCACCAGGAAGUUUCAUGAGAGGGAGAUGUUUUUCCCUGAGCAGGUGUCUUCUGAGCAGGCACAUAUGAGCCGUCAUCUGGGUGUUCUGAGGAGAGAUAUUCGGGAGUUCGUGGCGAACUCAACUUACCAGACAUUUGCUGAGCUCCAGGAAAAUACCCAGAAGGGGGAUAUUGAGUUAGAGACGCACGCCAGGGAGGAGGCCGAGUCACAGAGGGUGGAUCGGCAACCGGCUCAGUCUCAGUCGGCUGCCAAGCGGGCUAGACCCGCUGAUUCGAGAUCUGGGGGCGCGAAGGGUCGUACUUGUGGGAAGUGCGGCAAGAGUCACGAGGGGUCAUGCAGGGCUGGAGGCCGAGUCACAAGUGCGGGAAGGAGGGGCAUAUCGCGAGGGAUUGCCCCAAAGGAUUUUCAGUUUGCUUUCAUUGCAACCAGACCGGCCAUCAGAAGGCCGAGUGCCCUCAGCUGCUUUAGGGAUCACCACAGGGAUCUGCGCCUGCUGUUAGGGCUACCGAGGUUCGGCCAGUGAAGGCCGAGGCACCGAAGGCUUGUGGGAGAGUUUUCCAGUUGACUGCAGAAGAGGUCCGCGCGGCGCCCGAUAUUGUGGCUGGUAUGUAUUCUAUAUUCAUCUCUUAUUUGAGUUGAGUUAUUGUGCUUAUAUGAUGGUAUGCGUAGGGACUUUUCUUGUGAGUUCUGUGCCUGCUUUGGUAUUAUUUGACUCAGGUGCGAGUCGGUCGUUUGUUUCCGUAGCAUUUAGUCAGCACAUUAGUAUCCGUCGAGGGUCGUUGGAUCGACCACUGCGAGUUUCCAUAGCUGAUGAGCGAGCACUGUAUGCUUCAGAUGUGAUUCGAGGAUGUGUCCUUGAGAUCUUCGGUGUGGAGUUCCCGAUAGAUCUGGUUCCGAUUGUGAUGGGAGAUGUGUGUGUUAUAGUGGGUAUGGAUUGGUUGAGCCGAUAUGGAGCUGUGAUAGACUGCGAGCGUCAAUUAGUGACGAUUCGAGACCCUAGUGGGGGAGUUCUUACGGUGUAUGGCGAGGGUACAUGUGUUGCGUCAGCAUUUUGUUCGGCCGCCAGAGCGAGACAGAGUCAACAUCAGGGCUGUAGGGGAUUUAUGGCAUAUGUGAUGGAUGCGAGGGUUGAUUCAGAGAGACCGAGGUCAGUUGAUGAGGUCCCGAUAGUGCAUGAGUUUCCGGAUGUGUUUCCAGAGGAUUUUCUAGGUGUGCCUCUGGAGAGGAAGGUAGACUUCGGUAUUGAUUUGGUUCCGGGAGCUGUGCCUAUCGCCAAGGCGCCAUAUCGCCUAGCGCCUCCAGAAAUGCAGGAGUUAUCCUCGCGGCUCCGGGAGCUGCUUGGGAAGGGUUUCAUUCGGCCGAGCAGUUCGCAAUGGGGGGCGCCUAUCCUCUUUGUCAAGAAGAAGGAUGGUUCACACCGAAUGUGCAUUGAUUACCGGGAGUUGAACAAGCUGACGGUCAAGAACCGUUACCCGUUUUCAAGGAUCGAUGAUUUGUUCGAUCGGUUGCAGGGAGCAUCUUGGUUCUCCAAGAUUGAUUUGAGGUCUGGGUAUCAUCAGGUGAGGGUGCGAGAUGAAGACGUCCAGAAGACAGCAUUUCAGACUCGUUAUGGGCAUUACGAGUUCGUGGUGAUGCCUUUCAGACUCACCAACACACCAGUGGUGUUCAUGGAUCUCAUGAACAGGGUGCACAGGCCGAUGCUGGAUGGGUCGGUGAUCAUAUUCAUUGAUGAUAUUUUGGUGGAUUCGAUGUCUAGAGAAUAGCACGAGGAGUAUUUGAGGGAGAUCCUUGGAGUUCUGAGUUCGGAGAGGCUUUAUGCCAAGUUCUCAAAGUGUGAGUUCUGGUUACGAGAGGUUCAGUUUUUGGGGCAUCUUGUCAACUAGAAUGGGAUAUUGGUUGAUCCGGCCAAGAUUGAGGCGGUCAUGAGGUGGGAGGUGUCGAGAUCACCCACCAAGAUCAGGAGCUUUCUGGGUUUAGCCGGCUAUUAUCAGAGAUUUAUUAAGGAUUUCUCCAAGAUCGCCGUGCCACUCACCAAGUUAACCCGGAAGGGUGUUGCCUUAUCGUGGGGUCCGGAGCAGCAGACCUCGUUCGAGGCACUUCGCCAGAAAUUAUGCGAAGCCCCAGUGUUAGCCCAUCCGGAAGGAAUGGAGGAUUUCGUGGUAUAUUGUGAUGCAUCGAUAUCCGGAUUGGGAGUAGUGCUUAUUCAGAAGGGGCAUGUGAUAGCAUACGCAUCGAGGCAGCUUAAGCCUCAUGAGACGAGGUAUCCCACUCACGAUCUGGAAUUAGGAGCGGUAGUGUUCGCCCUCAAGAUCUGGCGACACUAUCUGUAUGGGGUUCGGUGUACGAUAUACACGGACCACAAGAUCCUGAAGUAUUUGAUGGAUUAGCCCACCCUGAAUAUGCGCCAGAGGAGGUGGUUGGAUGUGGUCAAGGAUUAUGAUUGUGAGAUCUUGUACCACCCGGGCAAGGCUAAUGUUGUAUCCGAUGCACUGAGCCGUAGGGCGGAGGGCGCCCCAAUGCGAGAUGUUUGUUUGAGAUUGAUAGUGAUGACCCCUGUGUUGGAUGCUAUUCGUGGGGCCCAGGCUGAGGCCGUGAGGCCCGAAAGCCAGAAGAGAGAGCGAGUUGUCGGGUUGGUGUCGGAAUUCAUUACUGAUAGUCGGGGGCUUAUGACAUUUCAGGGUCGGAUUUAGGUACCGUCUGUAGGCGGGACGCGUACCAUUUUGAUGGAAGAGGCUCAUCGAUUGAAGUUCUCAAUCCAUCCCGGGGCCACUAAGAUGUAUCUAGACCUGAAAAGGGAGUAUUGGUGGCCCUGUAUGAAGAGGGAUGUCGCAUGGUUUGAAGAGAAAUGCUUGACCUGUCGCAGGAUUAAGGCCGAGCAUCAGCGUCCACAUGGUAAGCUGCAGCCGUUAGAGCUUCCCGAGUGGAAGUGGGAACAGAUUACCAUGGAUUUCAUCACCAAAUUGCCAAGUACUGUGAGAGAUGUCGAUGCAAUUUGGGUGAUUGUGGAAAGGUUGACGAAGAGCACUCAUUUUCUUGUUAUCAGUGAGAGCUCUUCCGCAGAAAAGUUGGCAGAAAUGUACAUGAGAGAGGUGGUAUCGCGGCAUGGGGUACCGAUCUAGAUUGUCUCAGAUCGAGAUGUGCGUUUCACUUCCAGGUUCUGGAAGAAAUUUCUUGAGGAAUUGGGUACGAGACUGCAUUUUAGUACCACAUACCACCCACAGACUGACGGCCGGAGUGAGCGGAUGAUUCAGACGCUUGAAGACAUGCUUCGAGCAUGUGUGUUGGAUUUCGGAAGGAGUUGGGACACGUACUUGCCCUUGGCAGAGUUUUCCUACAACAACAGCCAUCAUUUGAGCAAUGGUAUGCCACCCUUUGAGCGGUUGUAAGGGAGAAGGUGUCGGACCCCCAUUUGCUGGGGAGAAGUAGGGCAGCAUGUGAUGGGUAGUACCAAGAUCAUGCUUCAGACGACCGAGCAGAUUCAGCAGGUCGGACAGAGGUUGUUGACCGCUCAGAGUCGUCAGAAGAGUUAUGCGGACAGACGCUGGUCCGAGCUCGAGUUUCAGGUCGGCAACUUCAUGCUCCUGAAGGUCUCUCCUUGGAAAGGGAUGAUUCGAUUCAGGAAGAGGGGCAAGUUGGGGCCCCAAUAUAUUGGUCCUUUCAGGGUGAUCACGAGGGUAGGCAGGGUAGCCUACCGGUUGGAGUUACCUGCAGAGUUGGGUCAGAUUCAUGACACGUUUCACGUGUCGCAGUUGCAAAAGUGUAUAGCCGAUGAGUCGGCGGUGGUUCCAUUAGAAGAUAUACAGGUGGAUGUGAGCCUGAAUUAUGUUCAGAGACCGGUGGCGAUUAGGGAUCGGAAGAUCAAGGUUUUGAGGAACAAGGAGGUGCCUCUGGUGCAGGUCCAGUGGCAGCAUCAGAAAGGGUCAGAGUUGACUUGCAAGCCGGAGUUGUUUGCAGAAUGAGACUUCGAGGGCGAUGUCAAAUUCUAGUGGGGGAGAAUUGUGAGUAGACUCGGAGAGUUGGUGUUUAAACUCGCCGAGUUUGGUCACGGAUUCAUAUCCGGGUUCAUAGCCGGACUCGGCGAGUCCACGCUGUUUAAUGAAACCCUAAUUUCUUGGGUUUAGGACCUAUUUAAAGGCCUUUAAGGCCGUCAUUUGCAGCUACCAAACCCCAGAGACAAGCCCUAAGAGAUCUAGAUCAUUUUUGAGGAAGGAGAAGCCAUUCUUGAUCCUUUUGUUGGUGUAUUUGCAAGAAGGAGGUGACCAAGGCAAGAGGAGGCUGAAGGAGGUGCGAUUUUGGUGACUUCAGAGUUCAUAGAGUUCAUAUUGAGGUAUUCAUUCAGACCUUCUUCAGUUUUGGGUGUUGAUUCUUAGAGUUAGGAUUUUCUAACCCCUUUAGUGGAUGGAUAAGUGGAGCAAAUGGUCCCUUCUCGAGUCUAUGCUUUGGAUCUGGACCCAAAGAGGUCCAGAGACCUUAACCCUUGGAGCUUUAUGGGUUGUUUUGGGAGCCAUGAGCCUAGGAUGUCAUUUUUGGGGAUAAAUCACUACGUUAGACCAUUUAGAUGAUAAAUCAGUGUCAAGGUCUUAACUUUACGUGAUUAUCAUGCUUGGGAAGGCCAGAUCUAUGAAUUAAAGGAACAGAUCUGACCUCAGGAGGUCUAUGGAGUUUGUGCAUGGCAUGAACUCGCCGAGUCCGAAGAACGACUCGGCGAGUAGGAUGAGGGUUUCCCGUAAAUCAGUCAGUGAGUAGAUUUGCCGCGUUAGGGAAAUAACUUGGUGAGUCAGGGAGAGUUUGGGGACUGGAGUUCAAGGCGGAACUCGCCGAGUUGUUCUUGAGACUCGGCGAGUUAAGUCGGGGUGGCCCCGCGAUUCAUGCCAGGUGUGACUCGUCGAGUAAGGGGAAGGACUCGACGUGCCAAGAGAGGGACUAAGAGAGUCAGUGGACACGUGUAGAAUCGUCGAGUCGCCCAAGUGCACUCGACGAGUCGGGUCAAAGUUUGACUGUUGACUUUUGUUGACUUUUAGGGUUUGGUCAACAGUGAGGCCUUUGAGCCAAAAGAGGGGUAAAAUGGUCUUUUACCCUUCUGAGGAUGUUAAGAAAGGUGGGAGUAUAGUUAUAUUUAUGAGAGUAUUUGCUUUAUGUGAUUAGGCGGAGGCUAGAUCACAUUUCUACCGAGACAAAGACUUACCGAGACACCUGAGGUGAGUCUUCUCACUAUAUGUUACCUUGAUUGGUAUUAUGUGUUUACCAGAGGGUCUUAUGUGUUACGUAUGAGAUUAUGUGCUAUGUGACAUAUGUGUGUUGUAUGAUUGUUAUAGACCGGACCGGAGGGUCCAACGAGCUAUGACCGGACCAGAGGGUCCAACGCGCAACGGGACUGGAGGGUCCCGCUGAGACACAUCGACCGAAGGGUCGUAUUAUAGCCUCGAGUGGCGUAUGUGUUGUAUGCGGUAUUUUGGGGGACUCGCUAAGCAUUUAUGCUUACAGUUGUUGUGUUAUGUUUUUCAGGUACUAGCAAGGACUGUGGGAAGGCGCCGACGUGACUCGUACACACUAGAGAGAGUCUGAUUUUUAUGAUCUUGGGAAAUGAUAUGUUUCAAAAACUACUGUUGAAAUAUUUGAGAAUAAUUUUAUAUGAAUUUAGUUGAUGAAAAAUGAAAAAUUUGUUUUGAAAAUUUACGUUGUUACAAAAUGUUUAUUGACAAGAGAAUCUUAUAUGUCAAGGAGUCAGUGGGAGUCUUAAUGGUCUCGAAACGUUUCAAGAAUUAAUCAAGAAUAAACCUUAUCGAUCAUCACUAGCACACGAGUUGAGGUUUACAACCUAUCGUGUUGACACUAUCUUGUUUCUAUGCCAUUCCAAUUGAGUUAAUUAUGCAUAUGAGUUCUCAUUUGAAUGCAUAAAAGACAAGCACCUUGAUCAAUGGAAAGUAC